rnacentral:rRNA from 1 species
CCUACGGGCGGCAGCAGUGGGGAAUAUUGGACAAUGGGUGCAACCCUGAUCCAGCCAUGCCGCGUGUGUGAAGAAGGCCCUCGGGUUGUAAAGCACUUUCAGUGAGGAAGAACGCCUGGUGGUUAAUACCCAUCAGGAAAGACAUCACUCACAGAAGAAGCACCGGCUAACUCCGUGCCAGCAGCCGCGGUAAUACGGAGGGUGCGAGCGUUAAUCGGAAUUACUGGGCGUAAAGCGCGCGUAGGUGGCUUGAUAAGCCGGUUGUGAAAGCCCCGGGCUCAACCUGGGAACGGCAUCCGGAACUGUCAAGCUAGAGUGCAGGAGAGGAAGGUAGAAUUCCCGGUGUAGCGGUGAAAUGCGUAGAGAUCGGGAGGAAUACCAGUGGCGAAGGCGGCCUUCUGGACUGACACUGACACUGAGGUGCGAAAGCGUGGGUAGCAAACAGGAUUAGAUACCCCAGUAGUC